rnacentral:lncRNA from 1 species
GCAGCGGAGCAGGGGUCAUGGGUCCUGCGUUUGAACGAUAGUCAACCAGCCCUCAAAAAAAGCAGGCGCUGGUCAAGGUGGCAUUUUCAUAAAGGCGGACAGCUGCCUCCUGCCCUGAGUGUCAGCCCCCCUGCAGCCUUAAGACUGACUCUCUCUCUUUCUCUCUCUCUUUCUCUCUCUCUCUCGGAAAGCCUGCUACAGCCAUAUCAGCUGGCAAGAUGAGAUUUCUUUUCCAUUUGUUCCCUACUUUUGAAAAACCAGCUUGAAGCUGUUAGGAAUGUGCGUGAGGCACUCUUAUGAAAUAUGAAAGUGGGGUGCAGGGCUGGGGAAGAAAAGCUAAGUAUUGCGGAAGUGUUCGAAAGGGUGAGAUAAAAGCAUGGUUACGGGAGGCCGAGAGCCAGGCCGUUUGGCUGCUACCCUUGGGGCUUCUAUUCCCUCAAGUGAGACUAUCAGAAGGAGUCCACGGUUUUCAACAGAGCAGCAUGACAUUGAACGGAUGGUUCCUGAACAUUGGCACUCCAGACUGCCGCGUCUCUGCAGAAAGGCACGAGAGGGAGUACAAUUAUAUUGCAAGACAAAGGAAAACUUCACUUUAUUUCAUACCUGGGAAGGCACAGUACUUCCUCCAGGAUGAAGAGGAGAAAAACUGGACAGAAGUUCAACCCUGAAGAUAACUAAAAUGGUAUAAAAACGAUUGAAUAACCCAUCUGGUGUCUGCUGCCAACAACUAUCAACACAUCUUCCAGAUGCCUCUGCUGAACGUAAUUAUUAAAGUUUUUACUUGAUUUAAAAACACGUAGAAGAGCAAAGUAUGUAUGUUUCAUCCCAAAUGAAAUUGCAAUGGCUUUCACUUUUCUGAUGACUACAAUCUAUUCACACUAAAUCAUUAGCUGGGCUGAAGGUCUGCUUAAGAGUAACAACCAGUAUGUGUCGAGCAAACUUAACAAUUAUGAUG